GCGAACGCGAGCAACGUUGCGCAGCAACGGCCCGAAGGGUGAGGAACGAAGUGACGAAUCAUCCUUCCCCCACCACCA
rnacentral:sRNA from 1 species